UACGUAGGGUGCAAGCGUUAAUCGGAAUUACUGGGCGUAAAGCGUGCGCAGGCGGCUAUGCAAGACAGAUGUGAAAUCCCCGGGCUCAACCUGGGAACUGCAUUUGUGACUGCAUGGCUAGAGUGCGGCAGAGGGGGAUGGAAUUCCGCGUGUAGCAGUGAAAUGCGUAGAUAUGCGGAGGAACACCGAUGGCGAAGGCAAUCCCCUGGGCCUGCACUGACGCUCGAUACACGAAAGCGUGGGGAGCAAACAGG
rnacentral:rRNA from 1 species